AGGUGUAUAUUUUGUUGUGUGUUCGUGGCGAUCAUUUGGUCAAAUCAAGUCAAAAUUAAAGGAGCCGUUCAUAUUAUGUUUUUCAAAAAAGCAGUGAAUUGUGAACUCUGUGUAACUGUACCAAACUUGCUAGCUAUGUGUGAACUAGCUAUAUUUUAUACUUUUAUACUAGCGAGGUUGUGAUCUUGCUAGCUGGGCAAUCGUCGACGGUUGGCAAUAAUAAAGUUGUAUCACUUGUAUACUGAUUCUGUCAAAAGAUCAAGCCAACAAGGUAUUGUAUAUCAAAUUUUACAAAUAUGUAGGUUGUAUGUAAAUUAGAAAAUUGUCAAUAAAAAUAGUUAUAUAUAUAUUUAUUAUAUUACAGUAAAAUGAUUAUUGAUAUUGUUAUUAUUUAAUUAUGGGAAUAUGAUAUGCAGUAAUUAAGCCGUGUAUAAAAGAACCAGUGAAUUUUGACUUCAGGCUGAAGUGGUUCGUAUAUUGUCUUACUUCACACUAUACUUUUUUAUAUUCAACACAUUGUAUUUUGGGUGCUCAAUUGCCCAAAUUUCAGGCUAGUGGUUCUUAACCUACUGGUUCUUUUAUGCGAGGGCAAGGCUUUACUGUAAUGUCUGUAUAUCAAAUCAAUAGACCUUAUGCAUAAUGACGUCUUAAGGCUUGAUGGCCAAGAAAAUUUCGAUAGUGGCCAUUUUGGAUUGUUUAAUUUUCCUGGGCGAUUACUACUAAAGUCCUGGGCAAACUAGGAAACGUUGUUGCGGACGAACAGGCGUGGACGAACAGGGUGGGCGAACAGGGAAACGUCUGAGGAAACAUCGAGAAUCACAAAUGUUUCUGCAACGUUUCCUAGUUUGCCCAUAGCUUAAGACCAGCAUUCCUCGCAGGCAUCAAGCCUUGUGACAUCAUUAUGCAUAAGGUCAAAUGAGCAGUAUGAUGUCCAAAUUGUAACACACAAUUGUACACAAAUGAAA